UGAUCCUGGCUCAGAACGUACGCUGGCGGCACGCCUAACACAUGCAAGUCGAACGCAGUAGCAAUACUGAGUGGCAAACGGGUGAGUAUAAUGUGGGAAUCUGCCUUUUGGUUUGGAAUAACACGGGGGAACUUGUGCUAAUACCGGAUAAGCCCUUACGGGGAAAGUUUUAACGCCGAAAGAUGAGCCUGCACUUGAUUAGCUAGUUGGUAAGGUAAAGGCUUACCAAGGCAACGAUCAAUAGCUGUUCUUAGAGGAAGACCAGCCACAUUGGGACUGAGACACGGCCCAGACUCCUACGGGAGGCAGCAGUGGGGAAUCUUGCACAAUGGGGGAAACCCUGAUGCAGCGAUGCCGCGUGAGUGAAGAAGGCCUUUGGGUUGUAAAACUCUUUCGUCGGGGAAGAAAAUGACUGUACCCGAAUAAGAAGGUCCGGCUAACUUCGUGCCAGCAGCCGCGGUAAUACGAAGGGACCUAGCGUAGUUCGGAAUUACUGGGCUUAAAGAGCUCGUAGGUGGUUAAAAAAGUUGAUGGUGAAAUCCCAAGGCUCAACCUUGGAACUGCCAUCAAAACUUUUUAGCUAGAGUGUGAUAGAGGUAAGUGGAAUUUCUAGUGUAGAGGUGAAAUUCGUAGAUAUUAGAAAGAACACCAAAUGCGAAGGCAACUUACUGGGUCACUACUGACACUGAGGAGCGAAAGCAUGGGUAGCGAAGAGAAUUAGAUACCCUCGUAGU
rnacentral:rRNA from 1 species